rnacentral:misc_RNA from 1 species
GCAUUUUCGAGCCAAAGGUGCGAAACGCCUGCGCGGGGAAAUCAGUCCACUGGACUGAUUUCUGAUCCCGCUUCGAUGCAUCGGAUAAUGCGUAAAGACAAAGAGAUAAAGCGGUACCAAUGGUUCCGUUUUAACUACAGCCUAAAGCAAAAUCGAACCGGAG